rnacentral:rRNA from 1 species
GACGAACGCUGGCGGCGUGCUUAACACAUGCAAGUCGAACGGAAAGGCCUCUUUCGGGGGGUACUCGAGUGGCGAACGGGUGAGUAACACGUGAGUAACCUGCCCUUGACUUUGGGAUAACUUCAGGAAACUGGGGCUAAUACCGGAUAGGAGCUCCUGCUGCAUGGUGGGGGUUGGAAAGUUUCGGCGGUUGGGGAUGGACUCGCGGCUUAUCAGCUUGUUGGUGGGGUAGUGGCUUACCAAGGCUUUGACGGGUAGCCGGCCUGAGAGGGUGACCGGCCACAGUGGGACUGAGAUACGGCCCAGACUCCUACGGGAGGCAGCAGUGGGGAAUAUUGCACAAUGGGUGGAAGCCUGAUGCAGCAACGCUGUGUGCGGGAUGACGGCCUUCGGGUUGUAAACCGCUUUCGCUCAUGACGAAGCUUUGUGUGACGGUAGUGGGUAAAGAAGCACCGGCUAACUACGUG